UAUGUAGUUUCACAGACGGUGAGCUGAAUUGUGAAAUACGCCAAUAGUCAAACGAGCCGGAAUGCCGGAGCCUUGCUUAAUAACCCCCGAGCAGAUGCAGUUGGAUGAUAAAGGCCGUCUAACAGGACUUUCUUCUUCUGGUCGACGGUUUGAACGUAGACGGCGUCAAUCGGCGGCGUCAGACCGCUCCGAGCUGUGCGUGAAACCGACCGUCGAGCAAGUGCAACAGAGCGAAUAUAAAUAUAAGAAAUAUGGGAGGAAAUAACGACCAAAACGAAAAAAUCAAGACAGGUGCACAAGUUGGUGCAGGACUUGGUACAGUUGCCGGGGCGACGCUCGGGAGCAUCGGGGGCCCGGCGGGGGCAGUACUUGGGGGCAUGUGGGGUGGCGGACUUGGCAUGGCUAUGGGCGGCGCCAUGGGCUCCUUUGCUGGCAGAAAGAAAUGAAAAUUAACAUAGCGUUGUUCUAGUGCAGCAGAUGACAGUGGCGAUCAGCAAACGCACAUCAAGGAAAGAAUGGUGCCGCUUUUAUCGCUUGUCGUGUCAUGUUUCAGUUUCGUACUUACAUACUAGUUAUAAAACGUGACACCCACGGCGAUAGACGAUAAUGAGGCAGCCAUAUUUACCCUUCAGACCUGCUAGCAUGAGUUGCGUUCAAGUACGCGCGAGAACGCAGCACAUGCUAGACGGUCUGGACACACUUCUACGGCACAAUGAUGUGUUGUCGUUUGCUGUUUGUCACCAUUAUCUGAAUGCAGCAUAAUGCGAGCGAAAUCAGACAUUGUACCCUAGCAUGACUUGAGAUAUCGCUCGCAACUUCAUACUUAAAGUCGCGCUUGACAUAUUUUUGUGCCAGAAUGUAUCAAUUUUUUUAUGGUACUCAUUUUAUCUAUAAUUGUGUCUUACAAAUUAUAAUUUCUAUUUAGAUAGUAUGUUUAAAUAGUUUUAACGUUCAAUCGUUGAAGUGUAACAAGCCCUUGCUUCAUAAAAUUGCUUCUUUUUUAUUUAUUAAGUAAUAAAUACAUCUUUUAGAAACCA